UACAGAGGUGGCAAGCGUUGUUCGGAAUUACUGGGCGUAAAGGGCGCGUAGGUGGCCUUCUUAGUCAGACGUGAAAUCCCCGGGCUUAACUCGGGAACUGCGUCUGAUACUGGAAGGCUGGAGUUCGGGAGAGGAAUGUGGAAUUCCAGGUGUAGCGGUGAAAUGCGCAGAUAUCGGGAGGAACACCAGUAGCGAAGGCGGCUCGCUGGGCCACACCUGACGCUGAGACGCGAAAGCUAGGGGAGCGAACAGG
rnacentral:rRNA from 1 species